GGAGGAAAGGCUUUAUCGCUGAUGGAUGAGGCCCCGCGCCAGACUUAGGUAGUUGGUGAGGUAAUGGCUCACCAAGCUGACGAUCUGUAGGCUGGUCUGAGAGGAUGAUCAGUCCACUACUGGGACUGAGACACGGCCCAGACUCCGUACGGGAGGCCUAGCAGUGGGGAACUAUUGGAACAAUGGGCGAAAGCCUGAUCCAGCAAUACCCGAGUGAGUGAUGAAGGCCUUAGGGGUUGUAAAGCUCCUUUUUAGCAGGGAAGAUAAUGACGUUACCUGCAGAAAAAGCCCCGGCUUAACUCCGUGC
rnacentral:rRNA from 1 species